rnacentral:lncRNA from 1 species
AUUGCGUGAGGGCAGGGCAGCCAGCCAAGUGCUGAAAAACUCUUCCUCUUGGGAAGCGCUAGGCAGUGCCCCAAAAGGGGAAGCGAUCUGUGGGCUGAUCUGCUAAUGAUUUAUCCCCGGGUCUUUAGACCUGGCACCUGUGGCACCAGCUGCAGCCGGGCUGUCUGGAAAAUCUUCCCAGCGGGCAUCAGGGAGCACAAGCCCAAACGGACCAAGAUAUGA